rnacentral:rRNA from 1 species
AAGUCGAACGAAACUUUCUUACACCGAAUGCUUGCAUUCACCGUAAGAAGUUGAGUGGCGGACGGGUGAGUAACACGUGGGUAACCUGCCUAAAAGAAGGGGAUAACACUUGGAAACAGGUGCUAAUACCGUAUAUCUCUAAGGAUCGCAUGAUUCUUAGAUGAAAGAUGGUUCUGCUAUCGCUUUUAGAUGGACCCGCGGCGUAUUAACUAGUUGGUGGGGUAACGGCCUACCAAGGUGAUGAUACGUAGCCGAACUGAGAGGUUGAUCGGCCACAUUGGGACUGAGACACGGCCCAAACUCCUACGGGAGGCAGCAGUAGGGAAUCUUCCACAAUGGACGCAAGUCUGAUGGAGCAACGCCGCGUGGGUGAAGAAGGUCUUCGGAUCGUAAAACUCUGUUGUUAGAGAAGAACACGAGUGAGAGUAACUGUUCAUUCGAUGACGGUAUCUAACCAGCAAGUCACGGCUAACUACGUGCCAGCAGCCGCGGUAAUACGUAGGUGGCAAGCGUUGUCCGGAUUUAUUGGGCGUAAAGGGAACGCAGGCGGUCUUUUAAGUCUGAUGUGAAAGCCUUCGGCUUAACCGGAGUAGUGCAUUGGAAACUGGAAGACUUGAGUGCAGAAGAGGAGAGUGGAACUCCAUGUGUAGCGGUGAAAUGCGUAGAUAUAUGGAAGAACACCAGUGGCGAAAGCGGCUCUCUGGUCUGUAACUGACGCUGAGGUUCGAAGCGUGGGUAGCAAACAGG